rnacentral:rRNA from 1 species
CUGUAUUACUGGGAUAACUCCGGGAAACCGGAGCUAAUACCGGAUAGUUCCUUGAACCGCAUGGUUCAAGGAUGAAAGACGGUUUCGGCUGUCACUUACAGAUGGACCCGCGGCGCAUUAGCUAGUUGGUGAGGUAACGGCUCACCAAGGCGACGAUGCGUAGCCGACCUGAGAGGGUGAUCGGCCACACUGGGACUGAGACACGGCCCAGACUCCUACGGGAGGCAGCAGUAGGGAAUCUUCCGCAAUGGACGAAAGUCUGACGGAGCAACGCCGCGUGAGUGAUGAAGGUUUUCGGAUCGUAAAGCUCUGUUGUUAGGGAAGAACAAGUGCAAGAGUAACUGCYUGCACCUUGACGGUACCUAACCAGAAAGCCACGGCUAACUACGUGCCAGCAGCCGCGGUAAUACGUAGGUGGCAAGCGUUGUCCGGAAUUAUUGGGCGUAAAGGGCUCGCAGGCGGUUUCUUAAGUCUGAUGUGAAAGCCCCCGGCUCAACCGGGGAGGGUCAUUGGAAACUGGGAAACUUGAGUGCAGAAGAGGAGAGUGGAAUUCCACGUGUAGCGGUGAAAUGCGUAGAGAUGUGGAGGAACACCAGUGGCGAAGGCGACUCUCUGGUCUGUAACUGACGCUGAGGAGCGAAAGCGUGGGGAGCGAACAGGAUUAGAUACCCUGGUAGUCCACGCCGUAAACGAUGAGUGCUAAGUGUUAGGGGGUUUCCGCCCCUUAGUGCUGCAGCUAACGCAUUAAGCACUCCGCCUGGGGAGUACGGUCGCAAGACUGAAACUCAAAGGAAUUGACGGGGGCCCGCACAAGCGGUGGAGCAUGUGGUUUAAUUCGAAGCAACGCGAAGAACCUUACCAGGUCUUGACAUCCUCUGACAACCCUAGAGAUAGGGCUUUCCCUUCGGGGACAGAGUGACAGGUGGUGCAUGGUUGUCGUCAGCUCGUGUCGUGAGAUGUUGGGUUAAGUCCCGCAACGAGCGCAACCCUUGAUCUUAGUUGCCAGCAUUCAGUUGGGCACUCUAAGGUGACUGCCGGUGACAAACCGGAGGAAGGUGGGGAUGACGUCAAAUCAUCAUGCCCCUUAUGACCUGGGCUACACACGUGCUACAAUGGACAGAACAAAGGGCUGCGAGACCGCAAGGUUUAGCCAAUCCCACAAAUCUGUUCUCAGUUCGGAUCGCAGUCUGCAACUCGACUGCGUGAAGCGGGAAUCGGUAGUA